rnacentral:lncRNA from 1 species
CAAACAUCCAGAACAUAGCCGGCAGCAAUAAUUUUGCCAAAAUAAGUGGAAUUUUUUUUCACAAGUAGUCUUAUAUAUGGAGAAGAUUUUCAUAUUGGACUUAUUUAAGAAGCAAAGAAACCAUCACAUCAGCUCCUCUCUGAAGCAGAAAUCUAGAUGUUAACCCUAAGAGAUGACAAAAAUCUACUUUGGAAGUACUCUGUCAAGACCUGAGUCCUCAUGAAAGAGAGAAAGAAGUCAAAUUACAUGUUUAUAAUGUCUUUUGAGAGUCUUCUGUAUCUCCAGAAAGAAAGCCUCAUUUGGAAAAAAAAUACGUAUUUAUAAUCACACAUAUAAAUUCUGUUAUGUAUCCACAAUGUGCUGGAAAAAUUUUCUGACAAGUGAUUUUGUUUCCCUCAGUUCUCCAUAACUUUAAUAAAGUGAUCUAUCUAAACCCCAAUUUAUGUCGCGUAACUUCCCUGCUAAAAUACUCUCCAGGAGCCUCUAUCACUUGCAAAAGAAAGUUCAAGUUCCUUAGUAUGGCAUCUGUUUCUUCACCAUAUUUCAGCUGGACCACCAACCAAGGCCUCCUUGAAGAUCUCUCAGCUUCUGCUUGUGCCCUGCUUAAUCCAUUCUCUCCGCAAACAGCCUGAAUGAGAAAUGAGAUGAUGUAGUGACCCCGGCUUCAAAGCCUGUCAAUAACUCUCUAAUGCACAUAAGAUAAAUAUAAUCUCCUUACUACCACCUACAAGCGGCUGUAAAAUUUGGCUCUGCCGAUAUCUCAGGCAUCCUCUGCCACUUC